rnacentral:rRNA from 1 species
UACGGAAGGCAGCAGUGGGGAAUAUUGCACAAUGGGCGAAAGCCUGAUGCAGCUAUGCCGCGUGUAUGAAGAAGGCCUUAGGGUUGUAAAGUACUUUCAUCGGGGAGGAAAAAACAAAACUAAUAAUUUUAUUUCUUGACGUUACCCGAAAAAGAAGCACCGGCUAACUCCGUGCCAGCAGCCGCGGUAAUACGGAGGGUGCUAGCGUUAAUCAGAAUUACUGGGCGUAAAGAGCACGUAGGUGGUUUUUUUAAAGUCAGAUGUGAAAUCCCUGGGCUUAACCUAGGAACUGCAUUUUGAAACUGAAAUAACUAGAGUAUCGUAGAGGGAGGUAGAAUUCUAGGUGUAGCGGUGAAAUGCGUAGAUAUCUGGAGGAAUACCUGUGGCGAAAGCGGCCUCCUAAACGAAUACUGACACUGAGGGUGCGAAAAGCGUGGGGAGCAAAACAGGGAUUAGAUACC